rnacentral:rRNA from 1 species
UUUAUGGAGAGUUUGAUCCUGGCUCAGGAUGAACGCUGGCGGCGUGCCUAAUACAUGCAAGUCGAGCGAACAGAUGAGAAGCUUGCUUCUCUGAUGUUAGCGGCGGACGGGUGAGUAACACGUGGGUAACCUACCUAUAAGACUGGGAUAACUCCGGGAAACCGGGGCUAAUACCGGAUAAUAUUUUGAACCGCAUGGUUCGAUAGUGAAAGACGGUUUCGGCUGUCACUUAUAGAUGGACCCGCGCCGUAUUAGCUAGUUGGUAAGGUAACGGCUUACCAAGGCGACGAUACGUAGCCGACCUGAGAGGGUGAUCGGCCACACUGGAACUGAGACACGGUCCAGACUCCUACGGGAGGCAGCAGUAGGGAAUCUUCCGCAAUGGGCGAAAGCCUGACGGAGCAACGCCGCGUGAGUGAUGAAGGUCUUCGGAUCGUAAAACUCUGUUGUUAGGGAAGAACAAAUUUGUUAGUAACUGAACAAGUCUUGACGGUACCUAACCAGAAAGCCACGGCUAACUACGUGCCAGCAGCCGCGGUAAUACGUAGGUGGCAAGCGUUAUCCGGAAUUAUUGGGCGUAAAGCGCGCGUAGGCGGUUUCUUAAGUCUGAUGUGAAAGCCCACGGCUCAACCGUGGAGGGUCAUUGGAAACUGGGAAACUUGAGUGCAGAAGAGGAGAGUGGAAUUCCAUGUGUAGCGGUGAAAUGCGCAGAGAUAUGGAGGAACACCAGUGGCGAAGGCGGCUCUCUGGUCUGUAACUGACGCUGAUGUGCGAAAGCGUGGGGAUCAAACAGGAUUAGAUACCCUGGUAGUCCACGCC